ACAUUGGUGGUUCAGUGGUAGAAUCCUCGCCUGCCACGCGGGGGGCCCGGGUUCGAUUCCCGGCCAAUGCA
rfam:Ciona savignyi cont_25282, whole genome shotgun sequence.